rnacentral:rRNA from 1 species
GAUUAACGCUGGCGGCGUGCAUAACACAUGCAAGUCGAACGAUGAAACUUAAAUGAUUUCUUCGGAAUGAACUUAAGUGGAUUAGUGGCGGACGGGUGAGUAACGCGUGAGUAACCUGCCUUACACAAGGGGAUAGCCGUUGGAAACGACGAAUAAUACCCUAUGAUGUUUCUAUCUCGCAUGAGAUAUUAACCAAAGUGUUAGCGGUGUAAGAUGGACUUGCGUCUGAUUAGCUAGUUGGUGAGAAAAAAGCCCACCAAGGCAACGAUCAGUAGCCGGCUUGAGAGAGUGUACGGCCACAUUGGGACUGAGACACGGCCCAGACUCCUACGGGAGGCAGCAGUGGGGAAUUUUGCACAAUGUGGGAAACCCUGAUGCAGCGACGCCGCGUGAUUUAGAAGGCCUUCGGGUUGUAAAAAUCUUUUGUAUAGGAAGAAAAUGACAGUACUAUACGAAUAAGGUCCGGCUAAUUACGUG